rnacentral:sRNA from 1 species
CAGGUGUCAGCCGGUUUGUCUUGCAAGCCUCCCAAUCAGUGUUUCAUGGUCCGGAAAAAUAUAUCCAUGCAUGAGGCAAACAUCAAUGCUUCGGAAUCCCUCAUCGUAGAGGGUUUGGAGCUGUAUUUUUACGGCGCCUUCGGAUGGUCACCGUAAUAUCCGGAUCGCCUCCGAGGACAGACCACGUACAAUUUCUACAUCUGGGGGCGACUGGUCUCGUGAGAGUGUUGCUGUGAUAUGCCGUAUCGGAUCUUGUGUAUAGUCCUCCAGCGUAACUCGCUCGUCCACCUCGAUAACUUUUUCGUAUAGGACAUACGGUUUGCGAAUGGC